rnacentral:rRNA from 1 species
UACGUAGGGUGCAAGCGUUAAUCGGAAUUACUGGGCGUAAAGCGUGCACAGGCGGUUCGCUAAGACAGAUGUGAAAUCCCCGGGCUUAACCUGGGAACUGCAUUUGUGACUGCACGGCUAGAGUGUGUCAGAGGGGGGUAGAAUUCCACGUGUAGCAGUGAAAUGCGUAGAUAUGUGGAGGAAUACCGAUGGCGAAGGCAGCCCCCUGGGAUAACACUGACGCUCAUGCACGAAAGCGUGGGGAGCAAACAGG